rnacentral:tRNA from 1 species
UGUCUAGGGGCGGGAAUCGAACCCACAACGUUCCGCUUACCGGGCAGAUGCCAUGUCCACUAGGCUACUUAC